CCUACGGGGGGCAGCAGUGAGGAAUAUUGGUCAAUGGACGAGAGUCUGAACCAGCCAAGUAGCGUGAAGGAUGACUGCCCUAUGGGUUGUAAACUUCUUUUAUAUGGGAAUAAAGUGUUCCACGUGUGGGAUAUUGUAUGUACCAGAUGAAUAAGGAUCGGCUAACUCCGUGCCAGCAGCCGCGGUAAUACGGAGGAUCCGAGCGUUAUCCGGAUUUAUUGGGUUUAAAGGGAGCGUAGGUGGGAUGGUAAGUCAGUGGUGAAAGUUUGCGGCUUAAACCCAAAAUUGCAGUUGAAACUGGCAGCAUUGAGUACAGUAGAGGUGUGCGGAAUGCGUGGUGUAGCGGUGAAAUGCUUAGAUAUCACGAAGAACUCCGAUUGCGAAGGCAGUUCACUGGCCCGCAACUGACACUGAUGCACGAAAGUGUGGGUAUCAAACAGGAUUAGAUACCCGAGUAGUC
rnacentral:rRNA from 1 species